rnacentral:rRNA from 1 species
AUACGGAGGGUGCGAGCGUUGUUCGGAAUUAUUGGGCGUAAAGAGCAUGUAGGCGGUCUGUUAAGUCUGGUGUGAAAGCCCGGGGCUCAACCCCGGAAGUGCAUUGGAUACUGGCAGACUUGAGUAUGGGAGAGGAAAGCGGAAUUCCGAGUGUAGGAGUGAAAUCCGUAGAUAUUCGGAGGAACACCAGUGACGAAGGCGGCUUUCUGGACCAAUACUGACGCUGAGAUGCGAAAGCGUGGGGAGCAAACAGGAUUAGAUACCCCAGUAGUCC